CCUACGCGAGGCAGCAGUGGGGAAUAUUGCACAAUGGGGGAAACCCUGAUGCAGCGACGCCGCGUGAGUGAAGAAGUAAUUCGUUAUGUAAAGCUCUAUCAGCAGGGCAGAAAGUGACGGUACCUGAGUAAGAAGCCCCGGCUAACUACGUGCAAGCAGCCGCGGUCAUACGUCGGGGGCAAGCGUUCUGCGGAGUUACUGGGUGUAAAGGGAGCGUAGACGGCAUGGCAAGUCUGGAGUGAAAGGCGGGGGCUCAACCCCCGGACGGCUCUGGAAACUGGACGGCUGGAGUGCAGGAGAGGUAAGUGGAAGUCCUGGUGUAGCGGUGAAAUGCGUAGAUAUUAGGAGGAACACCAGUGGCGAAGGCGGCUUACUGGACUGUAACUGACGUUGAGGCUCGAAAGCGUGGGGAGCAAACAGGAUUAGAUACCCCAGUAGUC
rnacentral:rRNA from 1 species